rnacentral:rRNA from 1 species
UCAUAUGCUUGUCUCAAAGCUUAAGCCAUGCAAGUGUAAGUUCACGCCACGCAUUAGAACGGGCGAAACCGCGAAUGGCUCAGGAACCGGACCUAAUCCUCGGGACCGUAAUCCUCCUCGGAGGCGAUGGAUAACUGUGGCAAUUCUAGAGCUAAUACAUGUGACACAGGCCGCGAUCGGUCGUCGCGCCGUGGUCGCCUCGCCUUCUUGCGCGCUGGCACCCGCGACGGCCGUCUUGGGUCGCGGCGCUACAUAUUAGACUGAGACCGAUGCGCGAUUUCCGUCCUCCCGUUUCGGGUUUCGGCUCGUUUCGGGACCAAAGGUCGGCGCGCUCCGCUUUGGUGACUCUGGAUAACUCACUGGUCGAUCGCACGGGCUUCCACGCCCGGCGACGGGUCCCUCGAGGGUCCGCCCUAUCAACUGUCGACGGUCGGUUAAGUGCCUACCGUGGUUACUACGGGUAACGGGGAAUCGGGGUUCGAUUCCGGAGAGGGAGCAUGCGAAACGGCUACCACAUCCAAGGAAGGCAGCAGGCGCGCAAAUUACCCACUCCCGGCACGGGGAGGUAGUGACGAAAAAUAACGACGCGGGACUCUGUCGAGGCCCCGCGAUCGGAAUGAGUACACUUCAAAUCCGUUAACGAGGACCAACCGGAGGGCAAGUCUGGUGCCAGCAGCCGCGGUAAUUCCAGCUCCGGUAGCGUAUAUUAAAGUUGUUGCGGUUAAAAAGCUCGUAGUCCGAACUCGGGUUCGUGGUCGCUCACGCGGCCCCGGGGCGGCGGCGCCAUCGUCCAUCGUUGACUUUGGUCGUCCGUUCGCAUUCCCGGCCCUUUCCGCCGGUGUCAAUCGCUAUAUAGACGGCCGUGGGUCAGCUGGUGUUAGGCGCGUCGUGGCGCCAUUGGGGAAGGUUUCUGCGUGGUGCGCUCGUCGUGUCGCGUGUUUCCCGACUCUUUGGUCGUCGCGUCCGGGCUCUCGGGCUCCCUUUCGCUACGCCCCCUCGUCGCCGUCGGUGAUUUCUCCUCCAAGGGUGCUCUUAACCGAGUGUCCGCGGCGGCCGGUACGUUCACUUUGAAAAAAUUAGAGUGCUCAGAGCGGGCUGUUCAAGCUUGCAUACGAUAAGCAUGGAAUGAUGGAAGAGGGCCUCGUCUACGUCUGUCGGUCUCCGUCUACGGCGAGGCAAUGAUCGAAGGGAGCGGUCGGGGCCACUCGUAUUGCGACGUUAGAGGUGAAAUUCUUGGAUCGUCGCAAGACGAACUGCAGCGAUGGCGUGUGGCAAGCACGUUUUCCUCGAUCAAGAGCGAAAGUCGGAGGUUCGAAGACGAUCAGAUACCGUCGUAGUUCCGACCGUAAACGAUGCCGACCGGCGAUCCGCCGGCGUUCGCUUCCAUGACCCGGCGGGUAGCCUGCGGGAAACCAGAGUUCGGUUCCGGGGGGAGUAUGGUUGCAAAGCUGAAACUUAAAGGAAUUGACGGAAGGGCACCACCAGGAGUGGAGCCUGCGGCUUAAUUUGACUCAACACGGGAAAACUCACCCGGUCCGGACACCGGUAGGAUUGACAGAUCGAUAGCUCUUUCUCGAUUCGGUGGGUGGUGGUGCAUGGCCGUUCUUAGUUGGUGGAGCGAUCCGUCUGGUUGAUUCCGAUAACGAACGAGACUCCGGCCUGCUAACUAGUGCGCCGAUGUGAGUGCGGCCCUUCGUUGGUCGUGUGCGGGCUCGUCGGCGGCGAUUUUUGAUCGUCGUCCGUUGCGUGUCCGGGUCGGUUUCUCACGCACUUCUUAGAGGGACGGGUGGCAGAAAGCCACACGAGGCGGAGCGAUAACAGGUCUGUGAUGCCCUUAGAUGUCCGGGGCCGCACGCGCGCUACACUGGAGGUAUCAGCGGGGACUUCGCCCCGGCCCGAGAGGGUCGGGAAACCUCUCAACCACCUCCCGUGAUAGGGAUCGGGGCCUGUAACCAACCCCGUGAACGAGGAAUUCCCGGUAGGCGCGGGUCAACAGCCCGCGUCGAUCACGUCCCUGCCCUUUGUACACACCGCCCGUCGCUACUACCGAUCGAACGGUCCGGUGAGGUCCUCGGAUCUGGCCGACGACGCCGCCGGGUGAAGGCUUUCGGGUCCCGCCUCGGCGUUCGAUGCCUGGAGAAGACGACCGAACCCGAUCGUUUAGAGGAAGUAAAAGUCGUAACAAGGUUUCC